rnacentral:rRNA from 1 species
GAUGAACGCUGGCGGCGUGCUUAACACAUGCAAGUCGAACGGAAAGGCCCAAGCUUGCUUGGGUACUCGAGUGGCGAACGGGUGAGUAACACGUGGGUGAUCUGCCCCGCACUUCGGGAUAAGCCUGGGAAACUGGGUCUAAUACCGGAUAGGACAGUGGUUUGGAUGCCAUUGUGGAAAGUUUUUUCGGUGUGGGAUGAGCUCGCGGCCUAUCAGCUUGUUGGUGGGGUAAUGGCCUACCAAGGCGUCGACGGGUAGCCGGCCUGAGAGGGUGUACGGCCACAUUGGGACUGAGGUACGGCCCAGACUCCUACGGGAGGCAGCAGUUGGGAAUAUUGCACAAUGGGCGCAAGCCUGAUGCAGCGACGCCGCGUGGGGGAUGACGGCCUUCGGGUUGUAAACUCCUUUCGCUAGGGACGAAGCGUUAUGUGACGGUACCUAGAGAAGAAGCACCGGCUAACUACGUG